rnacentral:rRNA from 1 species
UACGUAGGGUGCAAGCGUUAAUCGGAAUUACUGGGCGUAAAGCGUGUGCAGGCGGUUGGGCAAGACAGAUGUGAAAUCCCCGGGCUUAACCUGGGAAUGGCAUUUGUGACUGCCCGGCUAGAGUGUGUCAGAGGGGGGUAGAAUUCCACGUGUAGCAGUGAAAUGCGUAGAGAUGUGGAGGAAUACCGAUGGCGAAGGCAGCCCCCUGGGAUAACACUGACGCUCAUGCACGAAAGCGUGGGGAGCAAACAGG